UGUCCUCUCUCUCUUUUAUGUUAGCUCUGGACCUACUCCAUUGUUUCGGAUCGGAUGUCCGUACUUAAAAUCAUUUAUCCAUGAGAAUGAAGCACGAGGUAUAAUCUGCAGUAAAAAUGUUCUGCUUGAUCCAAAAGGAGUCCGAGACACCAAUGAUUAGGCACAUCUGAGUCAUUAGCUAUAGGCUGUCCAAGGAGAAGUCAGAGAUUGGUGAUUAUUUGUAACAGAUGCAUUGCAAUAUUAUACCACUGGAUUUCCACAGGAAGAAAGCAACAAAUUGAUUCUGAUGAACUUUGGUUUUUGGUUUACAUGUAUAUGCAAAAUGGUGGAGGGCCAUACUAACCUUUGAUCUUUGAUGGGACCAUUGGACAGUGCUGCUUUCCUCCCAAUCUAGCAGGGCAUACGUGCCAGCAGAACUACACGCAUGCAGAACAUGGGAAUGAUGCGUUGCACUCCAGCAUGCCGCAUUUCCAGCACAAGUACUGCAACCCCUUCACCUGCAAUCGCUACUCGUUUGUGGUGGAACGUGGUAAAGUUAGAUGCUCUGAUCCUGUGGAGAGGAAAAUGGUUGGAUGGCAUGUCAGCUGUCUGGUCAUUGUUCCCCUUUCUCUCUUGUGCGAUGGGAUUUUGAUGGCUGGUUGGCAUUUCUUGUUGGAAUGGCUGUUUUCUCAUUGCUAUUGGUUGGGUGGUUUCUUUUUGGGAGAUAACCGAAUAAAAAAUUGAUAGAGUGAUUCUCUAGCCUUUUUUAGCAUGGGAAAAAUGAGGUGGAUUAUGAAUAAUUGUACUAAACAUUUCUUCAUACUUAAUUUCUAUCUUAAAACAGUUUCCAACCGGCACAAAGGGGCAGAUAUGGUGCUGCAUGUCAGAGAUUUUGAGCUUUUGAGCUACUUGUGACGGCCUGUGCAGAGAUUUUGAGCUACUUGUGUGGUAACAUAUGGCAAUCACUGCCAUGAGAAAACUGGAUUUGUUUAUAUAAAGAAAUAUAGAUUGAGCUGAUUUUUCAAGCCAAGGGCGUUCGAUGUCUUCUAUUAAAGGAAGCAGUGCAGUGCCAGUGAAUAGAUUUGGUUUGCUUUUUUCCCAAGAGGACAGUUAUGCAACUAAAAGCAGAGGAUGUCUCAGUAGAUGGAUAAAAUUAACAUUCAUGGCUAAGCAUGACAGGAUUCAUCGCAUCUGGUUGCAGGAAAACGAAUGAAAGUCAAGAAAACCACCUUCAGUAUCUUGAAGUAUCGAGUGUGCAAUGGACUUUUGGACUGGAUCUGUGCUACAGGAUCCAAGCCAAUUUAAGUUGUAAUUGAGGUCUUGAAAGGGAUCCAAAGCCCUAAGAUCUUUUGGCUGUUUUCAACUGGCAUGUAAGGUUUGUCGGGUGUUGAAACUGGGUCUUUGCUGAUCCAC